rnacentral:rRNA from 1 species
GACGAACGCUGGCGGCGUGCUUAACACAUGCAAGUCGAGCGGUAAGGCCCUUUCGGGGGUACACGAGCGGCGAACGGGUGAGUAACACGUGGGUGACCUGCCCUUAGCUCUGGGAUAAGCCUGGGAAACUGGGUCUAAUACCGGAUAUGACUCCAUGACGCAUGUUGUGGGGUGGAAAGCCUUGUGCGGCUAGGGAUGGGCCCGCGGCCUAUCAGCUUGUUGGUGGGGUGAUGGCCUACCAAGGCGACGACGGGUAGCCGGCCUGAGAGGGCGACCGGCCACACUGGGACUGAGACACGGCCCAGACUCCUACGGGAGGCAGCAGUGGGGAAUCUUGCGCAAUGGGCGAAAGCCUGACGCAGCGACGCCGCGUGAGGGAUGAC